rnacentral:rRNA from 1 species
GGUAGUCCACGCCGUAAAAGAUGAGUGCUAAGUGUUAGGGGGUUUCCGCCCCUUAGUGCUGCAGAUAACGCAUUAAGCACUCCGCCUGGGGAGUACGGUCGCAAGACUGAAACUCAAAGGAAUUGACGGGGGCCCGCACAAGCGGUGGAGCAUGUGGUUUAAUUUGAAGCAACGCGAAGAACCUUACCAGGUCUUGACAUCCUCUGACAACCCUAGAGAUAGGGCUUUCCCUUNGGGGACAGAGUGACAGGUGGUGCAUGGUUGUCGUCAGCUCGUGUCGUGAGAUGUUGGGUUAAGUCCCGCAACGAGCGCAACCCUUGAUCUUAGUUGCCAGCAUUUAGUUGGGCACUCUAAGGUGACUGCCGGUGACAAACCGGAGGAAGGUGGGGAUGACGUCAAAUCAUCAUGCCCCUUAUGACCUGGGCUACACACGUGCUACAAUGGACAGAACAAAGGGCUGCAAGACCGCAAGGUUUAGCCAAUCCCAUAAAUCUGUUCUCAGUUCGGAUCGCAGUCUGCAACUCGACUGCGUGAAGCUGGAAUCGCUAGUAAUCGCGGAUCAGCAUGCCGCGGUGAAUACGUUCCCGGGCCUUGUACACACCGCCCGUCACACCACGAGAGUUUGCAACACCCGAAGUCGGUGAGGUAACCUUUAUGGAGCCAGCCG